rnacentral:rRNA from 1 species
GGGUUGUGAGGUUAAGCGACUAAGCGUACACGGUGGAUGCCCUGGCAGUCAGAGGCGAUGAAGGACGUGCUAAUCUGCGAAAAGCGUCGGUAAGGUGAUAUGAACCGUUAUAACCGGCGAUGUCCGAAUGGGGAAACCCAGUGUGAUUCGUCACACUAUCGUUAACUGAAUACAUAGGUUAACGAGGCGAACCGGGGGAACUGAAACAUCUAAGUACCCCGAGGAAAAGAAAUCAACCGAGAUUCCCCCAGUAGCGGCGAGCGAACGGGGAGCAGCCCAGAGUCUGAAUCAGCUUGUGUGUUAGUGGAACGGUCUGGAAAGUCCGACGGUACAGGGUGAUAGUCCCGUACACCAAAAUGCACAGGUUGUGAACUCGAAGAGUAGGGCGGGACACGUGGUAUCCUGUCUGAAUAUGGGGGGACCAUCCUCCAAGGCUAAAUACUCCUGACUGACCGAUAGUGAACCAGUACCGUGAGGGAAAGGCGAAAAGAACCCCGGCGAGGGGAGUGAAAAAGAACCUGAAACCGUGUACGUACAAGCAGUGGGAGCACCUUUAUGGUGUGACUGCGUACCUUUUGUAUAAUGGGUCAGCGACUUAUAUUCUGUAGCAAGGUUAACCGUAUAGGGGAGCCGCAGGGAAACCGAGUCUUAACUGGGCGUUAAGUUGCAGGGUAUAGACCCGAAACCCGGUGAUCUAGCCAUGGGCAGGUUGAAGGUUGGGUAACACUAACUGGAGGACCGAACCGACUAAUGUUGAAAAAUUAGCGGAUGACUUGUGGCUGGGGGUGAAAGGCCAAUCAAACCGGGAGAUAGCUGGUUCUCCCCGAAAGCUAUUUAGGUAGCGCCUCGUGAAUUCAUCUUCGGGGGUAGAGCACUGUUUCGGCUAGGGGGUCAUCCCGACUUACCAACCCGAUGCAAACUACGAAUACCGAAGAAUGUUAUCACGGGAGACACACGGCGGGUGCUAACGUCCGUCGUGAAGAGGGAAACAACCCAGACCGCCAGCUAAGGUCCCAAAGUCAUGGUUAAGUGGGAAACGAUGUGGGAAGGCACAGACAGCCAGGAUGUUGGCUUAGAAGCAGCCAUCAUUUAAAGAAAGCGUAAUAGCUCACUGGUCGAGUCGGCCUGCGCGGAAGAUGUAACGGGGCUAAACCAUGCACCGAAGCUGCGGCAGCGACACUAUGUGUUGUUGGGUAGGGGAGCGUUCUGUAAGCCUGCGAAGGUGACCUGUGAGGGCUGCUGGAGGUAUCAGAAGUGCGAAUGCUGACAUAAGUAACGAUAAAGCGGGUGAAAAGCCCGCUCGCCGGAAGACCAAGGGUUCCUGUCCAACGUUAAUCGGGGCAGGGUGAGUCGACCCCUAAGGCGAGGCCGAAAGGCGUAGUCGAUGGGAAACAGGUUAAUAUUCCUGUACUUGGUGUUACUGCGAAGGGGGGACGGAGAAGGCUAUGUUAGCCGGGCGACGGUUGUCCCGGUUUAAGCAUGUAGGCUGGUUAUCCAGGCAAAUCCGGAUAAUCAAGGCUGAGGUGUGAUGACGAGGCACUACGGUGCUGAAGUAACAAAUGCCCUGCUUCCAGGAAAAGCCUCUAAGCAUCAGGUAACAUCAAAUCGUACCCCAAACCGACACAGGUGGUCAGGUAGAGAAUACCAAGGCGCUUGAGAGAACUCGGGUGAAGGAACUAGGCAAAAUGGUGCCGUAACUUCGGGAGAAGGCACGCUGGUGUGUAGGUGAAGUCCCUGCGGAUGGAGCUGAGACCAGUCGAAGAUACCAGCUGGCUGCAACUGUUUAUUAAAAACACAGCACUGUGCAAACACGAAAGUGGACGUAUACGGUGUGACGCCUGCCCGGUGCCGGAAGGUUAAUUGAUGGGGUUAUCCGUAAGGAGAAGCUCUUGAUCGAAGCCCCGGUAAACGGCGGCCGUAACUAUAACGGUCCUAAGGUAGCGAAAUUCCUUGUCGGGUAAGUUCCGACCUGCACGAAUGGCGUAAUGAUGGCCAGGCUGUCUCCACCCGAGACUCAGUGAAAUUGAACUCGCUGUGAAGAUGCAGUGUACCCGCGGCAAGACGGAAAGACCCCGUGAACCUUUACUAUAGCUUGACACUGAACAUUGAGCCUUGAUGUGUAGGAUAGGUGGGAGGCUUUGAAGCGUGGACGCCAGUCUGCGUGGAGCCAACCUUGAAAUACCACCCUUUAAUGUUUGAUGUUCUAACGUUGGCCCCUUAUCGGGGUUGCGGACAGUGUCUGGUGGGUAGUUUGACUGGGGCGGUCUCCUCCCAAAGCGUAACGGAGGAGCACGAAGGUUAGCUAAUCCUGGUCGGACAUCAGGAGGUUAGUGCAAUGGCAUAAGCUAGCUUGACUGCGAGCGUGACGGCGCGAGCAGGUGCGAAAGCAGGUCAUAGUGAUCCGGUGGUUCUGAAUGGAAGGGCCAUCGCUCAACGGAUAAAAGGUACUCCGGGGAUAACAGGCUGAUACCGCCCAAGAGUUCAUAUCGACGGCGGUGUUUGGCACCUCGAUGUCGGCUCAUCACAUCCUGGGGCUGAAGUAGGUCCCAAGGGUAUGGCUGUUCGCCAUUUAAAGUGGUACGCGAGCUGGGUUUAGAACGUCGUGAGACAGUUCGGUCCCUAUCUGCCGUGGGCGCUGGAGAAUUGAGGGGGGCUGCUCCUAGUACGAGAGGACCGGAGUGGACGCAUCACUGGUGUUCGGGUUGUCAUGCCAAUGGCACUGCCCGGUAGCUAAAUGCGGAAGAGAUAAGUGCUGAAAGCAUCUAAGCACGAAACUUGCCCCGAGAUGAGUUCUCCCUGAGACUUUAAGUCUCCUGAAGGAACGUUGAAGACGACGACGUUGAUAGGCCGGGUGUGUAAGCGCAGCGAUGCGUUGAGCUAACCGGUACUAAUGAACCGUGAGGCUUAACCUUACAACGCCGAAG